GACAGAGUCCUCUGGGACUGGAAAGUUAGGAGUCGCGCCAGCAAUUUCUCUGGACUGCCUUGUCACUGACCUGUAGGAGGUCUGCACAGGCGUUAUCUCGUUUCAGAUUUCUUAGACUGUGAGUUCCUGCACAUCGAAGCCGUGUCUCAUUCAUUUCCCGGUUUCGAGUACUUAAAAUUAGACUAAGUCUAUAUUAUGAGCGUUGGAUUUAUCCAUGAGAGACUCACAGAGGCAGAGACCUAAUGAGAGGAAGAAGCAGGAUCCCUGCAGGAAGCCUGAUGUAGGACUGGAUCCCAGGACCCCAGGAUCAUGCCCUGUGCUAAAGGCAGAAGCUCAACCACCGAGCCACCCAGAUAGCUUGUUGUUAGUGUAUAGAAACACUACUGGCAAAGGAAACAAGAGCAAAAAUGAACUAUUGGGGCUUCAUCAAGAUAAUAAGAUUUUACACAGCAAAAGAAACAGUCAGCAAAACUAAAAGGACUUCAAGUACUAUGUGGAAUAGAAGUUAUGAAAGUGUGCAUCCUUGCCUUGCACCAGAUCUGAGAAGAAAAGCUUUUUAGUUUUUCCCAACUGAUUAUAUUAGUUGUGCGCUUUUCAUGUAUGGCCUUUAUCAUGUUGAGUUCACCGCCUAACUCCAAACCUGACUUCUAGAAGACCACCAGUGUAUUGAUGGUUGAUCUGACUGAAAUAGAAUCAAAGAUUGAAUUCCUGCCUCAGUGCCUGACACACAGCAGGCAAUCAAUAAGCAUUUGUUGAAUGGAUGGAUACUACCUUCAGCUAUCUGGAACUUGCUGGCAAAUGGAAGUCAGUGAAUUAAAAAAUAUAUUUUCCUUUUGAUCUUUGAGCAAUUCCUUCUUUUAGAAGGUCACUCUGGAUGCUAUUUUGAGAAUGGACUAUAGAAAGACAAAGAAGCAAAGAGUCAUUUUGGAGAUUACUGCAGUAAUCCAGGUGGGAUAUAACAGUGCCAUGGACCAGAAAUUCUGACUAUUUUGAAGGUUCCACCUGUAGGACAUCCCAGGACAUAUCUGAUUUGGGGGCAACUUGUGAUCCUGAUUAAAGAACAUAUUUGAGUGAAGCAGCAUGGAUGCCGUCAGCCAGGUCCCCAUGGAAGCCGCACUCCCCAAGCACAUCCUGGAUAUCUGGGUCAUUGUCCUCAUCAUCCUGGCCACCAUUGUCAUCAUGACCUCCUUGUUGCUGUGCCCAGCCACCGCGGUCAUUAUCUAUCGCAUGCGGACUCAUCCUGUCCUCAACGGGGCUGUCUGAAAUCAGUGUCCCAAGAGGGGCCGGGGAGAAACAUGGAUAGUAUCUCCUCCCCCAGCCUCUUCCUUCUCAGAAAAGCAGCAGGAGGGGCUUUGGAGUGUGGACUCUGGAGCUUGAUGUGUGAGAGGAGACCGGAGUUCUUGUUUGGAUUUUGCCACCGGCCAGCUGUGUGAGCUGGGUCAAGGGACCUAACUCUGUGGGUUCCAGGUUCCUUAUCUUCUAAAUGGGGAUCAUGGUCCUGCCCUUCCUACCUCAGAGGGUUGUAAGAACCAAUGCCUUGGGUGGAGGUUAAAGCUGUUUGUGGCUAUGAAUGGUAAAGCCACCACAGGGUUAUAAUUGCUGACAAUGGCCUUCAGGGUGGUGAUGAAGACACUGGGGGCAGAGCAGCCUUUGCCAGUGCCCCUCAGGUCGAACCAAGCAAAGACACCCUGUCUGCAUUCCAAGGGGCCAGUAGUGCUUUGGCUCAAAGUCAUUUUCUUUGUGGUGCCACUCCCUCAAGUUACCUAAUUUGGAGGGAACUGAGUGUGGCAGGAGGAGGGAGAUGGGUGGAACUUCCUAGGACCUUCCUGUGCCAGAAUGUCUACCCCUGUAACAGUCUAGAGGACGGCACUGCCAUGUCUUGGCAAGGCCGAAGGACCUGGGGUGAUGGGCUUCUUUCUGCAUUGGAGUCUCCUCACUUUGACACUCAAGCUAUGUGUCACAACACAGGGUGGCUGAGUUCCCCGGAUGGCUUUCAGGAUCUCCAGCCCCCACCAACUUGUGUGUCUCACACUCAAGAAGCUGUGUCCCCUCACCCCAGCACCUGCUCUAACCAGCUACGUGGUGUCAAGUGUACGCCCUUCAUCCCCUCCCACCAGCACUGCAGCCAGUCUAAGCUACAGAUUUUAAGAGAUGUUCCCAGGACUUUUGGAACUCACUCAAGACAGCGAUGGUUAUUUUAGAUGCUAUGAUCUAUAUUUAUAGAGAGAUUCCUGGACCACUCAAGCUCUUUGACCAAAAUCAGGAACAUCUUGGGAUUUAUUAAAUUAUGUAAGAAGAUAUAGCACAGAUAUCAGAAUAUUGUGUGGAAGUGAUGCUGUUACUUUGGUCUGAUUUCAUUGAUGUAUGCGACCAGUUUCCAAUAAAGUGCUAGAAU
rnacentral:lncRNA from 1 species